UGUCGCCUCUGCUGGCUGCCGCUGCUCCCGCCUCCCCCGCUUGCCUCAGGAGCGGGGCGUCCCUAAUCUCUGCGUAAACAAAGGGCAGUUCUCAGGAGUUAGCCGAUAGGAAAGCUUAGAAGAUUUUCAAAGCUGAAAGCAUUUUUAAAGCAGUAAAUGCGUUACAUCAACGACUUGAAUUUUCUGCUGGAUCAGAAGGGAAGUGAAACGGCACAUGAAGUUAAAACCAGGAUAUCCAAGAAGACAGAUGACUCUGUCCACAUUGAUUUCUGAUGUGUCUUUGGCUGAGUGUUUAGCUCUUUGGAAAUGGGACUGUCCCUCAACAAGUGCAUGCAGUACCACACAAAAGAGAAUUCCUGGAGGGUUAAAGCCCUGCUGUAGAGAUAACCUCUUCUCUGACUCUUGUAAUGGGUGAUAUUUGCCUUGCAGUCUGUAGUCCAGUGGUUACAGUACAGUCUAAGCUUUUGCUUCAAUCAGAAGUGAAUUUAUUUGCUAGUGAAGGUGACUAAAAAUCAGGAAGAAAGACUCAAACUAAAAAGAGUUAAGGUCAGCUUUCUCUUUUUUUUUUUUAAUCUCUUGUGUUGGAAAUAACAUAGUACUUACAGACACAGUAGGUCUCAACUGGCUCCAGACUGUGAUGAAUGUUUCAUCUCAUGUUGACAGAAUAGGAGGAUUCCAGCAUCUCCUGAGAUCCAGGGUAGGAAUCUCAUUAGGAAUGUGUUUUUUCCUUGUAUCAGGAAAAAAUGAAGAUACCGUUGCUAAGAUUAUUGAUAUGGAAAAACAUAAUUAGAUACCUUUAUUUUUAUUUUUAAUAUUCUGACAGGAUAAUAUAACGGCUGGAAGAAGGAAGUCACAUUGCCCAGUCUCAAUAGUAUUUAUCAUAUGAGGAGCAGAGAAAUAUGGGCUACUUUUAGUUAGCUGUUAGUUUCAAAACAAGCUUUUUGUGUAACAUCAACAGCAAUAAUGAACGAGCUGAAUAGCUGCAUCUCAUAAUGGAUGUUGCUAUAGAAAUUAUGAAAAUAUGCUUGUUUUUAGAAUUAUAAGGAGUCCCAGGAACUUUUAGGUCCCUUCCAACCCAAGUCAUUGUAUAAUUCUAUGACACACAGGAUAGUAGCAAAAAAACCCCCAAACAACAAAACACUCUCCUUAAGUGGUUCCAUGACACUAGACAAAAAUAUGUGGGUCUGUUUAUAAUUCUUAUCCCCAAAGCCACUCUGCUAUAAUUUACUUGUUUUCUAACACUUUACUUGGUCACUUCAAGCAAAGACCCUUAAACAAUCAGGAUACAAGUGUGAAGCUCCACUUACAGCUUGGGCUCAGGCAGCUCUUUAAUAAGUUUUGCAUUAUUUACCCUAUUGCUUCCAUGGGAACCUCUAUCUCUGCUGCUAGUAAUUGAGAAAGGAAAGAUUCAGAAAGUUCAGUGAAACCAGUUGAUAACAGUGGCUGCAAGCAUUUUAUGUGGUCUAGAUGAGACAGAACAAAGGGAGCUUUAGUGGAGACAGGAUGGAAGAAAUUGUAGUCUCUUGAAAAUAAAUCUGUAGAUGUGAAGAAACAAGGUGUGUAUUUUUAGUGUAUUGGUCCCAUCAGUCCAUAAAGAGCAAAAUUCAGGUGAAAGUACGUAGCACACUUAUAAAAGCUCCAGGCAUUAUUGAAACUGCCAUAUUAAGGGCAAAAUUUACUUGACUGCAUAAAUUGCAAGCAAUACAAAAACCACAUGUGAAAGUAAGAUGCAGCAAUUCUUCCUUAAUUUUGGCCAGAGCAUGAAAAAACUGGACGUGGCUACACUCUUGGUUUUCCCUUGUAAUAUACUUUGUUUCUUGGGCUCUUAAGUGCCAGGAUGCCACCUAUGUGCAUUAUACUAGCUUCUGCUCCUUUAUUGCCACACUAGGUGCAUAUUUUUUGCCCAGCAGAAAUGUAGGUUGGGACAAAGCUUCCUGAGGCUCUGUUUACCAGCAAGGCAUACAGUCCUACUAAAAUUGUUACUAAAUGAGGGAAUGUUGCCUCUUGAAGUAUCAAAACAAAUAUAUCAUGACUUGUUAUGUUAUGUUAUGACUUAAAUGUCACUUUAAGUGUAUUUUAUUAACAGAAAUAUAUGUAAGUGAAAAAAGGGAUCCAUUGACUGAAUCCUUCCAUUAAAUUAAAAGAAGGAAAUUUACUUUUUCUCAAGAGCAACUUCUUAGAUUUGUAAAGUUUAUUUGUUAAUUUGUAGAGUACACAUUUGUAAUCUAGAAUUUUAAAAAGCAUUAAUUUUAUGAAGCAUUAAUUAUAAUAUAAAAAUUUGAAACCACUGUUCUUGAUGAUGAGUUUGUUCUUGUAACAUUCCUGAAUUAAUCCUACCAGGAUUAAAGGAAACUGUGUUAGUUUUUGAGCAAAAUCAUGACAAUUUUUUAGCAGAAACUAGUGGCUAAGUUCUGGGGAAUUAUUUGACUUUUGUCUUCGUGGAAAUUCUCAACUUUGACAAGCUCAAAAAGUAUUUUCUCUACUGUCUCUUUUAAAGCAGCACUUCAAAUAAUAUAUUUGGCAAAUGCAGUUUGAUUCUUUUGUUAGCACAUGGAGUGAUGACCAUUGCAUGCUGGUAUUUUUGAUGGUGGCUUGGCAUGUUAAUGUUGUUCAGCCAUGAAACUAAGGCAAGAUAUUUCAGUCCUGCCCUAUUCUAUUGCUGAUAAGAUGGGGAGAUGAAAGCAGGAAUGCAGAAGCUCAGGGAUUUGGGGAUUUGUUCCUAUGUUGUGUGGCUAGGUCAUGUUGCUAAAAAGGGAGUAAAACACCAGUGAGAAGAGUGGAACUACUGUCUUUAACUCCAAGCUGAAUCACUGUGUAAGUGUUCCUAUUGCUCAUUGCCAGGUAGCUUUAGAAGUCCAUUACCAGGGCAAAGGGAAUCACAGAAGGCAGGUUUACAUUGAGUGAAAGAUUACUGAUGAAAGACUUUCCACAUAUACUAAAAACUUGCUUUCAAAGUGAUUUGCAGUAAAACUUGAGUGGAAUGCUGCUGUUGAGUGCAGCUGUCAUAGAGAAGGAUGAUGGUAUUGGUUCUGGAGGGGGAUAACUGGACUGUUAAGUGAAAUUUAACCAACUGCUGAUGUCCCUGGCUGACAUGAAGUAAUUUAGUCUGGAGUCAAUGAAUCUCAUUUAUAUCUGGGUGAAGUAGAUUGAGACUUUUGAGAUUCCUUUCUCUGAAUUGUUCAAAAAUCUGAUCAAAAAUAAAACCUUAAUUUUAUUACCUUAAGAAGUCCACUGAACUUAGCAAUUCAAUUGUCCUUUUAGCAAAAUGUGAUAACUGUAUCUGCUUGCCUCCCUGAACAGUUGUGAGAAUAAAUUAUUGUUCCUAAACAGCUUGCAAGCUGAAAAGGGAUGAAAAAGGGAACAGUUGAUGUCAACUUUUAGGAAAAGGAGAGCAGAAAGAGGAAAAGGUUAUAGGUAUGCUUUUUACUGCUUCCUCACCCAAUAUAGCAGUCACUUCAAAACAAAAGAGGCCAGGCACAUGAAAACAAUUCUGAGACACUUCUGUCAGGAUUUGCAGUGCAGGCCAGUACUGCAGCAAUAUCUGCUCAUGGGUCUUAAGGAUCAUCUCUCAUCAUACAGAAAAUACACACGAAAGUGGGGGUUGAUGUACAAGCACAGGAAGAGAAGGCUAAUAAUUUGCUGUUGCUUAAUAUGGGCUCAGGCAGUAUUCUUCUCAGGCCUUCUUGAACACACCCUGGUACCUGGGAACACUUUCGUAUGGAACGGUUAUGAAAUACUCUGGCUGAUGUAGUUCUGAUAAGAAGCUGUAGCAAUAUUUAUAAACUGCUGAGCUCUAUAGAUAGUAAUACACUUGGUAACAGGAAAUAGGACAUGGUUGCUUCACCUGUGCAAUUAGUGAAGCAAGUCUCUGCAUGUUCAUAUACUCUUGUACAACAUAGAAAGACCCCAUUGGCACUUAGGCUCAUCAAAAUGCCAUGGAGAUAGUAAAGAGUCAGAAGGCACUGGACAAAACUAAAGAGCUUAGAAUGCACUGCCUUCUUAUAGUAAAAUUCUCUAAUAGCUGUACUGCUGCGUAAAUAAUUACAGCACUGAAAAUGCUUAACUGCUGAUAUGAAUGGUAUACAUUAUUCUCAAGUUGGGAUUGCUUUUUGCAUCAUACAGAAAGGUUUUCAUUUUCUAAAAUGCCUGGCAAACUAAGGAACCCUGUGAAUGCUGUGCCUCUGCCUACAAUCAAAACCAAAUAAAGCAAAAUAAAUGUAAAAUAAUUGAGAGAAAUUAAAAUCUUAGUCACAGCGUCUUGUGUCAAAGUUUUGCUCAUGUCCCUCAGCAAACAGAUGUCAUUUACUUUUACCCAACUACUGACUUAAAUUGCUUAUAAAUAGCAUUUUCCCACCUCCCUCUCCCCUAAAUUCCAGAUCCAAGGAAUUUAAUCGGAUUGGAAUCAAAAUCCAUGGUCUCACUGGCCAUAAGCUUUAGAUCAAUAUGGUCAGUUUUUGUUUAAUUGUUACCAAAUUUUGCACCAUUUGAAUUCAUGUGAUCUGACAGUGAGUCAAAUUAUCUUUUUUCCUAAGAGUAAAUAUUUCAAAACAUGUUGCAUAAAUAUAAUUGUCUUACCUUUAGGAAGUUUUGUCAGAAAUCUACUGAGUAUAUAGAAGGGGAAGGCAAUGGAGAGUUAGCACUAGGGUAUCACUGACCUUCUGCUCGGGUGGAGCAGCCCACAGUGGAAGAGUGAGAUGGGGCAAAAAUUUGGUAAGUUUCUAAAAUCUUUAAAGGUAUGACUCUAAAGACAGAGAGACCACAUAAUUGUAGGGCUCACAGUUAAUAUUUGUAAUCGGGAAAAGCUUCUGUGAGGUGACAGCAAGUGUGAUCUUGCUGAUGCAAAACCACUACCCUGACAACAUCAAUAGAAACAAAACCCUACUCGUCUCUUAACUGGCCACAGAUAUGUACAGCAUUUGUGCAAAAAGGAGGUUUUUCUAGAUCUCAUAUAUCUAAAAAUACAGAAUAAAAAGUUAAGAAGUCAUAUUAAUGGAUAUAAGUUGGAAAAAAAAAUUGGAAAAACAUGUUGCACCUUGGGAAAGGAGGAAGAGGUUUAUUUUAUGCCCUGUGUAUUGCUGAUGGCGUGGCUGGCACUGUGUGCAUUGUAAUCACAGCCAUUAGAGAUACACAAAGUGUUGCUGCAGAUACUCUCAGUAAAGUUCUUAGCUAGUAAUGACUUCUAGUGUUGCCCUUCAUUACAUAUCAGCAGAAAUAUAUUAUUCUGUGGAACAAACAUUUCUGCACAUUGCUGUGCCAGCUGGCCACUAAUUCAUUUCAGUGAAAAAUACAACUUGCAAAACAUGAUCAGGGUGUCUCUCUUUGGUAAGCUGCACACACAGUGCUUAUUGCAAACUAGACACACACAUGGGCUUUGACAGAGUGCCACAAAACCCACAGCACGUUUCCAAACACUCUUGCCACCUAUUUUUCUCUACUACAUUCUUAGAACAUAUGGUGGUGACUGUCAAGAUUUAUGCAGGCCUGCACAUCUCUGACUUGAUCUCCUUUUUCUGUUGCUGACCCAGGCUGUUUUUUUAAUUUUUCAUUUGGUUGAUUUAGGUUUUUUUUUAAAUAAUAACCUCAGCUUUUUGUUUGGCUUUACCACAAUACAAUUUCAUCCUCUUUUUUGUUGUGGUGUCCCUCUUCUCAGAUAAUGUGAGAUCUUUUCUCUUUUACAGCAGAUUUAAAGCAAAAGUGAUAAUAAAAGGAAAACUGUCAUAUCUAUGCAGGAGAGAAAUUUUUCCCAUGCAGGCACUUCAGAAGAAAGAGUGUUUUUCUGAGCCACAGACCUCCUUAGAAACCUGCUUCAUGGGAGACCAAGGUUGAGAUGGUAAAGAAGCUGGAACAAGCUUCACGUGCUGAAAAGGGUCUAAGCAGAUGUGUAGCCUGUAGAAACACAACAAAAGGCUUUCUGGCCUUCUGGACUUUAGCUAGUCCUCCAGGACUCAGUACCUGGAGAGUUUACAGCUACCAUGAUCUUCUAUUUGCCUGGCCUACAUCUGUGGUAGACAAUAUCAAAACUGUAUCUUAAGUAUGACUUACCAUGUACUUCAUUUUACUGUCAUUUGUGUCACUAAGGCUAGAGUGCCUUAAUAGCUCUCUUUAGAAGUCAAAAGCCUGAAAAGGCAUCUCAAAUAGGUAGUAAGAGAGAUGAAGUUGGACUGAAAUGAAGAAAUUACUCAUAAAACAAAGUUUAGGCAGUGUAGGCUCCUGACUAUUGAACACACAGCACAAAUCAACUGGACUGCUGGAAAUUUUAGCAUCGAGUUAUGGUGAGCAGUGAGAACACAAGAAUCUAUGUGCUGUGUCAGUAAAUGCACAUAUAAGGUUCUAAAAGUGAGCAUUGGAACAAGGGAAGUGCUUGGGCAGCAGGGUUGCUGAGAAGAUGUACACCUUGAGGUUCUCCAGCCUCUGAAGAUCAAGAUAGCUCUUUGACCAUCUGGCUCUUCACUCCUAUAUUACUGCUCCAGGCAUUUACAUCAAACACAGCAAAUAAAUUAUGCAAAAUCUCUCAGAGACUUUUGGAGUACUCAUUCUCAUAUUUUAAAGUAGGCCUCACUUUCCCUCUUACUUCAAGCCCAUUUCUCCAGGAACAGAUCUCCUUCAGCUGUAUAAUGGGAGUGAUCUUCUGAAGGGAGAGAAAGAGGGGCAAAUUCAGAGCAGAGUGUCCACUACAGAUAUGGGGCAGUACAGCCAGGGUGCAGGGCAGAGGAAGGCCCUUUGAAGUCAGAGGGGCACUCUCCUUUUACACUCAUGUAUGGAAGGAUGAGGUUCAUAAAAAAGAGAUUUACAGAUUCACAGAUUCAAUUAGAAGAAGUGCAUAGCACACAAAAAUGUGGAAAGUAUUCAGGAAGCAUUUACUUUCCUCAGGGACAUCCAGAUAUUAAGUGUAUUGAAGCCAAAAGUUGAAUCCACAGACUGUAAUCUACAUAUGGCACAGCAAAAAAAAGCAUGGCAUUUGCAAUAUCAAUGUCACAUCUCAUAUUAUGUUUCUGCUUUGGAGAUGUUAUGGAGCCCUUUGCCACUGAAUAUGAGCCCAGUUCUUGGGUGGAAAGGGUUUUUUACAUGUUGUUUUCUUUGUGGUUCCAACGAGGAUACAAUGUGUCUCUGAGUCUCUGUACAAUAGACAGGUCUGGUACUUUACAACACUGGGAAAGCUGGAUGUUAGAACAGAUUCCCACUCAGGAAAAAAUAUGUGGAUUAGAAAAAUAAGAGAAGCGCAGCAAGUUUUGGGACUAGAGGGAUAAACUGUUUGAGAUAUGAAUAUCAGAAAACAACAGUAGUAUUUAGAUACUAAACAAAGAAAUAAUACACUAGAAUAAAAUUAUUCUUCAUAUUUAUUCUUCUUUAGUGUCUCUGAAAACAAGGCUUAAUUCAUUUGAGCUGGCAGAUAGGCAGUACUCUAAUGUUACCAACUUUCUUAGAAAGUAUAACAAAGCAAGAAAGAUUCUCUUUCGGUGAAAACACAAUGAAGUGUUUCGCAAAACACUUCAGUAACCAGAAUCAGAAAGCAGCUCAAGACUGUUGUAACAAAUAUGUAGUAUUCUUUAUGUCCUGAAGCCAUAUUUGGCUGUUUACAAAGCUCUGUAAAGUUGCUGAGGAUCAUUUCAUUGUUCUACCAGUACAUCCACUGAAACUACCUUUACUUUUAAGUUGAUAACAAACAGAAGAUCUUGGUAUUGUGCCCAAUGAAAAAGGACACAGAGAUUACUUUCCUAAAGAGAGCAUGAUUUUAAAUUAAGCCCUAAUUUAGCGGAAUCUUAAAAAGUGAUUUUGUAUCUUACUUAGAAAAAUAAUUUUGUAAUUUUUGAAUAAUUUGUAUUUCUGGGUACAUGGAACUACUUGCAUUCUUAUUUACCAAAAUUAUCACAGCAAAAUUGAUUCAGCUACUGUGCUUAAAUGUGUGCUUUAUUGUCUAGUAUUUUAUAUUUGUUCCAUUGCUCUAGAGGGACUAUUGGAAUUGGAUUUCUAUAUAUGAAAUGAACAUCUCUAUACUCCAUGGUAUUGCAAUUAAACAUUUGAGCUAUAAUCUUAAUUUCCCUUAUUUAUUGCCCCAUCUUUGUUUAUAGUCUUUGUAGUAUCAUGACUAAAAUCUGACAAGAAGCUGCCUGAGGAAAAGUCUGAUCUCUUUGUAGUACUGCAGAGUAUGCAAUAUAUUUAAAGCUCUCUAAGUGAAAUGAAAUUACACUAAAAAAUCCAAAAGAUUUUGCAUGUAAAUACCCAUGAUUUUGUCACUGUAAACAUUUUAAAAUUGCAUUAAUUGGAAAUUGUAGCAUUGGGAAUGAUUUUCCUAGCUCUCAGAAAUGUGGGUAAAAAUUACAAACAUAUAUAUAAGAAUGUUGGUAUUCACUCUGUCAAAGGAAAUAAUCUGUUAGCAAAAAUUUCAUAAGUAUAGAUAAAGUAGGAAAGGAUAAAUAUAAAUUAAUUUGGCAUGAUCAGAUAUGAAACACCAUAUACUUCAUAUACCACAGUGUGAUUCAAGAGAGCAAAAAUUGGAUUUGGUCUGUUUCAGUCUUUGCAAAAGGGCAUGCACUGAGGUUUCUUUAAAACUUCAGAACAUUUCUAGGACAAAUAAUGAAAAUUUCAAUAAUUGCUAGGACAUGAAGCAUGGACUUACUUUAAUAUCUUGAAGUGGGUCUUUUUAAUGUUGGGCCAGGCUUUAGGGUGGUACAGGUGAAUAUAGUUCCAUUGCAGUCAGGGUUAAAUACUAGGAUACCAAAGAAAGCAUCCUGGGGUGCAUUAUGAAGAGCAUUGCCAGCAGUUUGAGGCAGGUGACCCUGCCCCUCUACUCAGCCCUGGUGUGGCCUCACCUGGAAUGCUGUGUCCAGUUCUGGGCUCCUCAGUACAUGAAAGGCAUGAAACUCCUGGAGUGGGUCCAGCAGAAAGUGAUUAAGGGACUGCAGCAUCUCUUAUGAGGAAAGGCUGGGAGAGUUGGGUGUGUUCAGCCUCAAGAAGAGAUGAUUGAGAGGGGACCUCAUCAAGUAUUUGAAGGGAAGGUGUUAAGAAGGUGGAUGCAGCUUCUUGGUGGUACCAAGCAAUAGGACAAGAAACAAUGGGAUAAAUUAUGAAUAUGAGGAAGGACUUCUUUACUGUGUGGGUGAUCUUGCACUGCAACACAUUGCCCAGAGAGAUUGUGGAGUCUCCUCCACUGGACAUUUUCAAGAACCACCUGGACAUAAUCAUAUGCCAUAUGCUUCGUAUAACCCUGCUUGAGCAGGGUGCUUGGAACAAAUGACCCACUGUGGUCCCUUCCAACUGACGCAUUCUGUGACUGUGUGAACUGUCAGUGCAUUGCAUCAGUGUGGAGUCAGCUUUAGAACGCCAAUUAAGACAGUUGCUGACAUGUUGCUUACUCUUUGCUUUAGCAAUACUUUGUCAUGGGCUACAUAUUUAAUGCAUAACAGCAUGUAUGAACAUAUAUUACCAACCUAUCCACCCCUUAACCCAAGUGCUGAUAUCUGUCCUUUAAAUGAGAGGGUAUUUACUAAUGUGGUAAAACAUAGUGAAGUAAUUAAUUUUGCAUUUCCCAGAAUAAGAUAAAUGCUAUUGAAAUGUUCACAAUCUUAAUUUAAUAUUCCUUAAUUAAUUGGCUUGUCUGUCACAUUAUUUUCACAUUUC